CUCACACACAGGGGAGGGGCUGAGCACUGACCAUGGCCUCCAGUGAGUGAGCAGAGACCCCCCAGCGCCUGUCCACACACACAGGGGAGGGGGAGCCACAGCUUCCAGCGUCACCCAGAGCCCUGACCCCUCCCUGCCUGGGAGGACGUGGGGUUCCUCUUCUGUCCCACACGGAGGUGGGAGCCUCCUCCUCCCUAAUGACCCUGGGUGGUCCCAGACACCUGUGGCCACUCAGCAUUGAACUCUGCUCAUGGAAGGGGAUGCGUCUCAAUGUGAGGAACUGUUC
rnacentral:lncRNA from 1 species